UACGUAGGGGGCAAGCGUUAUCCGGAUUUACUGGGUGUAAAGGGAGCGUAGACGGCAUAGCAAGUCUGAAGUGAAAGCCCGUGGCUCAACCGCGGAACUGCUUUGGAAACUGUUAAGCUGGAGUACUGGAGAGGCAAGCGGAAUUCCUAAUGUAGCGGUGAAAUGCGUAGAUAUUAGGAGGAACACCAGUGGCGAAGGCGGCUUGCUGGACAGAGACUGACGUUGAGGCUCGAAAGCGUGGGGAGCAAACAGG
rnacentral:rRNA from 1 species